CUGAACCAGCCAAGUAGCGUGAAGGAUGACUGCCCUAUGGGUUGUAAACUUCUUUUAUACGGGAAUAAAGUAUCCUACGUGUAGGAUUUUGUAUGUACCGUAUGAAUAAGCAUCGGCUAACUCCGUGCCAGCAGCCGCGGUAAUACGGAGGAUGCGAGCGUUAUCCGGAUUUAUUGGGUUUAAAGGGAGCGCAGACGGGAGAUUAAGUCAGUUGUGAAAGUUUGCGG
rnacentral:rRNA from 1 species